GGUUUUGUAGUGUAAUGGCUAGCACUCGGGAUUUUGAUUCCCGCAAUCUGGGUUCGAUCCCCAGCAAGACCU
rnacentral:tRNA from 1 species